CCUACGGGUGGCAGCAGUGGGGGAUAUUGCACAAUGGAGGAAACUCUGAUGCAGCGACGCCGCGUGAGGGAAGACGGUCUUCGGAUUGUAAACUUCUUUUGUACGGGACGAAGAAAGUGACGGUACCGUAAGAAUAAGCCACGGCUAACUACGUGCCAGCAGCCGCGGUAAUACGUAGGUGGCAAGCGUUAUCCGGAUUUACUGGGUGUAAAGGGCGAGUAGGCGGGAUUGCAAGUCAGAUGUGAAAACUAUGGGCUCAACCGAUAGAGUGCAUUUGACACUGGAGUUCUUGAGUGAUGGAGAGGCAGGCGGAAUUACCGGUGUAGCGGUGGAAUGCGUAGAUAUCGGGAGGAACACCAGUGGCGAAGGCGGCCUGCUGGACAUUAACUGACGCUGAGGCGCGAAAGCGUGGGGAGCAAACAGGAUUAGAUACCCCUGUAGUC
rnacentral:rRNA from 1 species